rnacentral:rRNA from 1 species
AUUGAACGCUGGCGGCAGGCUUAACACAUGCAAGUCGAGCGGAGCGAGGGUGCUUGCACCUUAGCUUAGCGGCGGACGGGUGAGUAAUGCUUAGGAAUCUGCCUAUUAGUGGGGGACAACAUUCCGAAAGGAAUGCUAAUACCGCAUACGCCCUACGGGGGAAAGCAGGGGAUCUUCGGACCUUGCGCUAAUAGAUGAGCCUAAGUCGGAUUAGCUAGUUGGUGGGGUAAAGGCCUACCAAGGCGACGAUCUGUAGCGGGUCUGAGAGGAUGAUCCGCCACACUGGGACGGAGACACGGCCCAGACUCCGACGGGAGGUAGCAGUGGGGAAUAUUGGACAAUGGGCGGAAGCCUGAUCCAGCCAUGCCGCGUGUGUGAAGAAGGCCUUUUGGUUGUAAAGCACUUUAAGCGAGGAGGAGGCUACUUAGAUUAAUACUCUGGGAUAGUGGACGUUACUCGCAGAAUAAGCACCGGCUAACUCUGUGCCAGCAGCCGCCGUAAGAC